rnacentral:rRNA from 1 species
GUGUCAGCCGCCGCGGUAAUACGGAGGGUGCAAGCGUUAUCCGGAUUCACUGGGUUUAAAGGGUGUGUAGGCGGGUAUUUAAGUCAGUGGUGAAAUCUCCGGGCUCAACCCGGAAACUGCCAUUGAUACUAUUUAUCUUGAAUCUUGUUGAGGUAGGCGGAAUAUAUCAUGUAGCGGUGAAAUGCUUAGAUAUGAUAUAGAACACCGAUUGCGAAGGCAGCUUACUAAACAGGCAUUGACGCUGAGGCACGAAAGCGUGGGGAUCAAACAGGAUUAGAAACCCCCGUAGUCC